GCGAUGGUGGUGUAAAUGGUCAGCAUAGUUGCCUUCCAAGCAGUUGAUCCGGGUUCGAUUCCCGGCCAUCGCA
rnacentral:tRNA from 1 species